AGUAAAAAAGAGGAAAGAGAGAAACAAUUAAAUAAGGAAUGACCCUCACCUUGGCCAAAAUUCAAAAUGCCCCAUUUACCCAUCUUUACUUUUUUUCAAUCACUCAUGAGGUAUUGGGAUGAAAUCUUCAGGAUAAGAUAUUUCAUAGAGGAAGAAGAUAAAAUUUAGAUAGUGAAAGAGAGAGUUUCAGUUCUCAGGAGGAAGAAAGAAAGGAAGGAAGGAAGA
rnacentral:misc_RNA from 1 species